UUUAUCCAAAUUAGAUACAUUGCUAUGGUGAAAAUGCAUUAAAAACGACAUCUCCCAUCGCCACCUGCUUCAUAGCGUCAUCAAGCUUCGCCUUUGUUAUUGUUGGAAAUGCGCCCUCUUUUGGUCAAUUACAAAAAUCGCAUACUGGAGCUUUAAGCGGACACUUUUAUCCAAAGCAUUUUAUAACAAUAGAAACAUAUUUGGGAAUCUGCUCCACCUAGAUUAAAAUAUCAUCUGUCCUCAUCUCAUUAGAUCAUAAUGAGUUGGGAAAAAUUUUGAGUGCAACUUUUGAUUUAUUUUAGCGCUCCUAUUAAAUGUUAAAAUACUUUUAUAUAUAUUUCAAGGUGCUUCAAUCUGUUGCAGUCUUCCUCAUACUCAGAUAUAUCUGAUGCAGAUUUAAACCGGUGUCACAGGACCUAAAUCUUUAUGCCAUCUUGAUGGAAAUCACAAACUAAUAAGAUGGAGGAUAGCAAUUCAUGCUUGGAGAAAGGUGACAAGCAUCUACCAACAUUCGCAGCAGCACUGUCAUGAACUGCUUCUUGGAAGCCAUUUCCAAAUAUGGAGUCCCUUCCAGAGUAAGGACUGACCAUGGGGGAGAGAACAAUGCAGUGUGCUUGUUCAUGAACCUGUUCAGAGGCAAUGAACGAGGGAGUGCUCUUAGAGGGAGAAGUACACACAAUCUGAGGAUUGAAAGACUUUGGGUCGAUCUGUGGCAUGGGGUGUCAAAUGUGUACUAUGAUCUUUUCCACUUUCUUGAGAGUGAGGGCAUUGUGGAUGUAGAUAAUGGAAGGCACAUGUGGGCUCUGCAAUAUGUCUACAUUCCAAGAAUUAACAAAGACUUGACAAAUUUUACACACCAAAGAUAUCCUUUCUUUUGUGGAAAACCUAAGAAUGUAAAAUGACAUUUAACAGUGUCACUGUUACUUGUGUGAAGUGUUUCACAUGGCAUGUGUCAUAUUCUGAUCGGUUUCUCACCUCUACUUUCCUGAUUCAUUUAUAGUUUAUGUAAGGGCUAGUCAUAUCCCUGAGAUAAAAAAAAAA